rnacentral:lncRNA from 1 species
AGGACCCCAAACAUCAGUGUGGACAAGCUCAAAAUGAGACUUUGCCCGAUUAUUCAAACGCUUUGGGAACGAGACACGAGUAUGUUUCCCAAGCUGACAUGACUCACACGAAAGCGACGACAAAGUGGAAAAACGAGGGACCAUCUUCUGGAACUUGGAGAGAUUAGGGUGGCCCAAACGACUGUGAAUGAGGAGAGGAGCAUCAAUGGAAAUGCAAACUGCAGGAGAUGAAUCCGAGGUGAGGUGAUAGAGGCCUUCAGACGUGCCAAUCGUCUUCCUCGUACUCCGGUCCUGCAAGGUCACAAAUUUAUCAGAAAAGGUAAUAGAGCAAUUAAGAGUACGAGUGAUUUUGCUGAUGGAAAUAAGAUUAAAAGAACAUUCAGGAGUAUAAAGGACAGAAGUGAGAGGUAGAGAAGGCAGAGGAAGGGUCAAACCAAUACCUUUAGCUACAGUUUGAGAACCAUUAGCUAAGGUAACAGUAGGUAAAGCAGAGGUAGUAGUAAUAGAGGAGAAAAGAUCCUUAUUACCAGAUAGGUGAUCAGAAGCUCCAGAAUCUAGAAUCCAGGGUCCAAGAGAAGAUGUGUGGGUAAGGCAGGCAGAGGCAUUACCAGGCUGGGCAACAGAAGCCUGAGAUGCCUGAGAUGCGGAGAAGCUCGGAGGCUGAGGCAGUUGAGAAUCAGAGGACUGGGCCACAUGGGCAGUCCGAGGAGGCCGUCCAUGUAACUGAUAGCAACGAUCGCAAUUGUGGCCAAGUUUAUUGCAAUAGGUGCAAUGAGGACGUUGGCCUCUACCUCGGUUACCACUGCGUCCUCCUUGAGAGGUAGUGUGAGAAACUAACACAGAAGAAUCUGAAAUGCUAUCAGAUGGCAAAGUCUGAGUGGACGAGAUACGAAGGAGGCGAGCAAACACAUCAUCCAAGUACGGAACUGAUGAACUACCAAGAAUUUGAUCGGGGACAGGCUCAAGAUCCGGACGGAGGCCAAUAAGAGUAAGGACCAUGAAGAACUUAUCAAGUUGUGUUUGUUGAGCCCCAACAUCAGGAGUAAGAGGCAUCACAGUCAAGAACUCCUCCUCAAGAGAGGCAAUCUGGCCAAUAUAAGUAGAUAGAUCCAAGUCUUGUUGGCUGAUAUGGACAAUAGCAGAAGCCACCUUAUAAAGACGCUGGAUAUCAUUUGUGUAUAAUCCUUUGGCCUGAGUCCAAAAUUUAAAACAAGUUCUGUAGGCCCGAAGAUGAAGAAGGAUCUUGGGAUCAACUGAUUGCCAUAAUACACUACAUAACUGGGCAUCUAUCUUUCUCCACUGUACGCGCUCAACCUCAGGGAUAUCUGCCUCCUGUGUAACCAAGUGAUCCUCAUAUCCUUGUCCCAUAAACCAAAGUUCAACAGAGGCAGACCAAGAAAGAUAAUUUUCACUGCCAACCAAUUUCUCUGAAGUAAUCAUAGGAGAUCCAGAUAUGACAGAGGAAAAAAUGGAAGUUUUAGUAGCCAUAUCCACUUAUCUGGAGAAUGAAGUAUAUUUGGAUCGAAGAGAGCCCUAAUACGGCUUCAGAUGCGGCUGAAAAAGGAAAAACCGAAGAAUUGCCCGUGUGAGAGACCAAAUAGAAAAGAAAAACAACCGUGGCACCACCGGAAAGGUAGAAGAACACUUCCUAAGGCACGUGUAGGGAUUGGGGUUGAGAAAAAAUAGCUGGAGGACGCCGGAAAACUGUUUGGAGGGUCGGCGGAGGCAAAAGAACCCCAAAAGAGGCACAUGCAGGGCUCGGAUGGCAGAAACAGGUAUGAAGGGUGGCUAGUCGGCGUCAGGCGAGACUGGAGGAGGAAGCGCGUCGCCGGAAAGUGGCUCACGCACCCUCACGCGCCGGCGCGUGAGAUGCAGUCGCCGGCCGAAAAAACGUGCGUGGCCGGCGCAGGGGUGGUUUUCUAGCUCCGGUGCUUUGGGAAAAAUUGGAGAUCUCCUCCAGGCGCUCCUUGCGGUGUCGAAAAAAGACGUCGUCGGAAAAGUCGUCGGUGGUGAAUGUUUUCUAACGACGAUUCGACCAACCGGAAAGGUUUGGGGUCUGGGGAAGGUGAUCAGAAUGAAACACGGUCACAGGAAGGUUUCCCGGAAUUGAUGACACGGGGAAACUGGAAAGAAUUAGGUUUUCUCCCUUGGCUCUGAUACCAUGUGAAGAGAGAGAGAAGAAAACCUUGAUUCUCAUUCAUGUAGUAUCUACUUACAAUUGAGAAAAUAUAUAUAUACAAUGCUAGGAGUCCUAACUACCAUACAUGUGACCUAUAUUAAAAAAAAAAAAAAAAAAUUGUACACUACAAAUUCAUUAUAUUCAACAUAUUUGAUUAGGUUUUGAUGAGAAAUUGUUUUGGAAUGGAUAUGAGAAAGUUUGAUUGUAUUAGCAUUUUGAACUCAAAAGUUUUAUGAAAAUAAUUAUAUGUUGUAUCUCCAAUUUGUAAUUGCAAUUAAAAAUGUUUGAUCCAUGAAAAUGCAUUGAUGUUCCUUAUUGAGCUUUAAGCUCAUGCCCUUUUGUUGAUAAUUUUUCAAGUACUAUCAAUUCGGGCGAGUAGUGAUGGCUAGGCUGGGGAAUUUUUCUUUGUUAAGAUUUUGGUUCAAACUUUAUUUUAGACAUUGUUUAGAUGUUAAAAUUUAAUGCCUAUUUGGAUUAUUUGAGUUUGAAGUUAUUUGGACAAUAACACUUGGGUAGAUGUGUUAGUUUUUAAAGUUGAGAAUUGAGGAUUAUAGAAUUUAUUUAUUUUACUACUUUGAACAGGAAUUUGGUAACUGGUAAUUUCCAGUUACAAGAUGAAUGUUUGUAUUGUUUCCACUUUAAGCCUUCGGGUUUGAGGUGUGAAAUGACCGUCAUGCCCAUGGAGUAGGUUUUGGGGCAUGACACUACUCUAUGCAAGCCAUGUAUCCAACCAUGCAUACAAGAUGCGCAAAAGAGGAAAAGAAACCUUGAUCUGCUAGCCCACUCCAACCAUGUUUACAAAAUCAAUAAAAGAGUGUAACCUUUUCUCAUUCUCCAUUAGACCAUAAGGAAAGAGCUUUCAUGAAUGAAUUCUUUACUGCCAUAAUCAACUUCUCCAUCCCUUCAAAGGUUCUGAGUUUGUGCUCUUUCCAGAUAUUCCAGAACAGGUGCAAAGGGAUCAAUUUCCAAACUGCUUCACACCUGGUUCCAACCAAAGCAUCAUACCAGCUUAAUCAAGCUUACUUAACAGAUUGGGGAACAACCUAAGUCACUACAAACAUGGAGAAAACCAAAGACCAAAGGCUAGAAGCCUACUCACAGUGAAUCAGAAUGUAGCCUGCCAAAUCAGAUCAGAAACUAAUUCAUCAAUCAUGAGGAUUUUCAUCCAAAUCGCCUCCCAAAUAAAGAAGCUAACCUUAGAUGAAGCCUUAGAAGUUCAAGUCAUUUUAGCUGGAAAAAGAGAGGACAUACUCAGAGUCAAAGAAUAACAUCUGAUUGAGAAAUCCAUUCUUGGAAAAUCUUCCAAACCAGUUUAUCCACCAACCACUAGCCACUGACAGAGAAUUCAUCCACAGCAACAAGGAUUCCACCACCAAAGCCACUAUUCAAGAAGUUUGUUCUAAUGCUUGGACUUCAGCUGUUCCCAUCCUAAUAUUCAGAAACCUAAGUCUCUCCAUGAACUGCUAUAUUAAAUAACAAGGGGAAAAAAUCUUCCAACAGUGUUUCACAACACCUAGUGUUAUGCCAAAACCUGAUCUAUUGAUUGACCAUUUCCAAGAGAAAAGUUUGUUCUCAAGAAAAAGUCACACCUCCCUUCCUCAUGAUCAAACUCCCUCCAUUUUCCCAUACCUACACAAAACCACUUUUCUCAAGUAUCAGAGGCCUUAUUUGAACAAACAGUUAACCACCUCACUAAAUGGAUCUUAAUAUCUGAUAGGCCUCCUCCCCAAAGAAAAUCCCUUUCUCAACUUUCUAAGAAUAGCAAAAACCAACAAGAAAUAGAUUGGCAGGCUAGGGCAAUAAGUUGAAAACCAACUCUCUCGGCCAAACGUAGUCAAAGAUACAAUCCAUUUCAUUUUUCUACUCUCCUAUGCCAUAUCCUUCAGAUUUUGAAAAACUAGGUUAAUUGGCCCAGUCUUCUCAAUUCUCAAGCACACUGCACAUCUCUUGUAAGAAUUAUCUUAAAGUCCAUUUGGAACUUUAAAUUGUUUAUUUUAAUUGACAUUAAAGAUUGGUACUUGGGGUUGGUCUUUUCUUUGCACAAACAACCAGUGAAAACUCCUUUUCUUAAAAUUUCAUUUGUUUUCUUAAUAUUUUCCAAUCCAAAACAUGUGCAGAAGAUGUGCAGUUAGGAUUGGUCCUUAUCCUAUUGGUACUUAGAACUGAACUUUUCUUUCACUACACCUAAGAAGACUGGUCAGUGUUUUUUCCUAAUUCUUGGUUAAAACAAUAUAGAGCAGGAAUUGCCGAUAUUUCAUUCUUUGGUAUUGUUGAUGAAUUUGUUUAGGGGUUCAAAGCUGCAGUCAUUUGUCUUUUCUUUUUUCUUUAUUAUCUUUUUCUUCAUCCUUAGGUGUCCAUGUAUAGUUCCAUUAGACAAUUCGCAAUAAAUUAUUUUUCAUUUGCCUAUGAAAAAUGGUCUUUUCCUUGACACAGUCAGUUUGUUCAAAUUCACUCAAUUAAAACACAAAAGAAGAACAGGUUAAGGCCAAUCUGAAAAGCAUCAACCCAUUUCAUUAAUGCAGAUAAUGGAUUAUAAGCACUCUGGUUUUCAAUAUCUAAUUGAAUGAAGAGAUCAGCAUUUACCUUCUCAAAGCACCCUUAAGAAACUCUCUAUUAACUUCAAAAUGGUAGCAGGUACGUUCAGCUUCUGUGUAUGCAUUUGACGAGCCUCCGUGCUUGGACAAGUAACUAUCAUACUAGCAAAGAAAAGAGUCAAAUACGAGGCCGGAAGACAUUUAAUUUUUCUUUUUCUUUCCUUUUUUUUAGGUAAGAGGACAAUAAAUGACCAUUCAUGAUCAACAUUUUGUCAAAAUUAUACCAAUUUACAGAUAUCACAAGCAAUAGUUCCAUAGUGGGCUCUAUACCAAUAGAAGGAAAAUAAGUAUUAUUCAGAACUCAGAAGGCGGAGAGUGAGGAGAAUUACACUGUAACUAUCUUUCAUGAAAAAAAGAAAAAGACCAAAUGAAUUAUUUGGAAAUAUAUAUAUACUACUAGACAUUAAUACAGAGAUAAAAAAAAUUUUGACUUUUGCUUCAAGGAUCAUCAUAUUAAAAAUUAUUCAGCCUACCCUUAGGUAGGGUGACCUAAACACGUCUAAGACACAUCCCCAGUUCCAUAGACUUAAACAUCAGGAACAAUUUGGAAACUGACUUGCUUGUCAUGAGAGGUGGAAUAUAUGAUUCCAUGACUUGAUGACAUGGAAAUAGUCCUAUAUGGUCAAACAUAUUUACAAGCUGAAUACUAGCAUAAACACCUAAUUAUGGAUAGACCUUCAGUUUGUGUGAUCUUGAAAUUUUUCUAUUACCUUAGAAAACAGUUUCUAUGCUCUCCUAUCUUGUCAUAUUUCUCAUUUUCAUUUUUCUUGAUAGGUAAAGGCAAUUGUAUUAAAAGAAAAAGGUAUACACAACGUAUACAAAACAACCAAAGAGGUGUGAAUACACAAAAACUAUCAACCACACCCUAAGAAGAACCUAACCUAUCCACAAAAUCUAGUAAGGACAUAGAACCAUCCCCACUAUACAAUCUAGCCCAAUUCCAAACUAGCAUCUCUCAUUGAUCGAUAUGCCUAUGCAUAUACACAAGCAUGGGUAAGAAAAUUUGUAACAAUGGUGAAUUCAAAGUGGAGGGAAGAGGGGGUGAGGGUGUGGGGAUUUCUCAUCUCUAAUUUGGUAAUGAUUCUUUAUUGUUCUAUGAGGCUAGUAGUGUGCAAUUGCUCCAUUUAAGAUGGGUGGUUCUCUUUUGACUUGAAUUGGUUUUAGAACCUCAAAUUAAUCUUAGCAACAGUGAGCUCAUUCCAAUAGGUGUUGGGAUUUGGUUGCAAAAUGGGUCCUUGCCUUCUACUUGCAUUUGCCUCAAAGCGCUCCUUCUAAGUCCUCUAUUUCAGAUCCGGGGGAAAAAAAGAUUCAAGAAGAGACUUGCUCUUUGUAAUAAGCAAUUUCUAUCAAAAGGAAGGAAACUUCCACCACUCAAGAGCACUCUUUCAAGUUUACCAGUCCAUUGUUUUGUCAUGCUUUGUGAUUUCAAGUAGAGUAAGGAGUAGAUUAGAUAAGUACCAACAUGACCUAGCGAGUAUCUAGAAAGGAAAAUUCACCUGGUAAGUGGACUGUCAUCUGCUAUUCAAAAACUAAUGGUGGAAUGGAGUGCAUAAUUCUUGCUCUACUUAAUAAAGCAUUGUCAAGAAAGGAAGGUGGGAGGUAAAAGCGGUGAGAGGGUUGACGCGACUCACCUAUUGUUUGUCAACGACAAUCUAAUUUUUGGUGAGGCAUGCAAAGAUUAGAUGAUGUAUCUUAGUUGGAUUUUAAUGUGGUCUAAUGCGAUUUCUAAGCUAAAGAUCAAUCUUAAAAGAGUAAGUCGAUUCCAAUUAGGGGUGUUUCUUAUAUGGCGAAAUCGGUGGUUGUUUUCAGGUGCAAAAUAGGGAUGUUCCCAUCCACAUAUCUAAUCUCCCUUCGAGAGACUCGUACAAAUCGAUGGUGGUCUAGGAUAUGGUGGAAGAGAGGUUUUAGAAAAGAAAUGCAAUGAGAAAGCGAUAGUAUAUGUCAAAAAGAUUCAAAAGGAUUUUCUACGAGGAGGUGGAACAUUUGAAAAUAAGCCUUACUUGGUGGAUUUGUUUAAUGUUUGCAUGCAAAAAAAGAAAAAGGGGUAGGCAUUCAUGAUCUUUAGUUUUUGUGAAGAGAGAGAGAGAGAAAAGAGAGAAUCCCUAAUUAUUGUUAUUGAAAAACUGUAAAGAAUACAUAUUGGACUUGGGUAUAUAUAUACAUGCUAGUGGGACCCACAAUACAGUAAGGAAAGAAAAGGAAAAGGAAAAGUAAAUAACUUAAAUAACUAUACAUUAUCUAACACUCCCCCUCAAGCUGGAGCAUAUAUGUUAUAUGCACCAAGCUUGUUACAAAUGUAUUUAAUUCUAGGACCUCUGAAAGAUUUAGUAAAAAUAUCUGCUAGUUGAUCAUUUGAAUUGACAAAACUAAUCGCCACACAUCUUGAUGCGAUCUUCUCUCUAAUGAAGUGACAGUCAACUUCAAUGUGUUUGGUCCUUUCAUGGAAGACUGGAUUGGAUGCAAUAUGCAAAGCGGCUUGGUUGUCACAGAUGAGCUUCAUCUGUUCAUCCUUUCCAAAUCUCAACUCCCGAAGAAGAUGUUUCAGCCAUAUAAGUUCACAUGUUGCCAGAGCCAUAGCUCGAUACUCGGCUUCAGCACUAGAUCUGGCCACUACAUCUUGUUUCUUACUCUUCCAAGAUAUUAGGUUACCUCCAAUAAAAACACAAUACCCGGAAGUGGAACGUCUAUCUGUGGGUGAGCCAGCCCAAUCUGCAUCUGUGUAACCAACAACUUGGGUAUGACUUCUGUUCUCGUACAACACACCUUGGCCUGGCGUGCUUUUGAUAUAUCGAAGAAUGCGGAUUACAGCAUCCCAAUGGCUAUCACAUGGUGACUGUAGGAAUUGACUAACAACACUUACAGGAAAAGAAAUGUCUGGACGAGUAAUGAUGAGGUAGUUCAGUUUACCUACAAGUCGCCGAUAUCUCCCAGGAUCUCCUAAAGGCUCCCCCUAUCCUGGUAUAAGUUUGACAUUUGGAUCCAUAGGAGUGUCUACCGAUUUACAGUCUAACAUACCGGUUUCUUCCAAGAUGUCUAAAGCAUACUUCCUUUAGGAAAGAACCACACCGGAACUGGAUUGAGCUAUCUCAAUCCCUAAGAAAUACUUGAGUUUCCCCAAGUCUUUAGUCUGAAAGUGGGUGAAAAGGUGUUGCUUUAGGUUCUGAAUACCAUUCUGAACACUACCUGUAAUGACGAUGUCGUCCACAUAAACCACCAGAUAAAUACACUGCCCCGAAGAGUUAUGAUGAUAGAAAACAGAAUGGUCUGCUGUAUUGCGAAACAUGCCAAACUCCUGAACAACAGAACUAAAAUGGCUAAACCAUGCUCGAGAAGAUUGUUUCAAGCCAUAUAGAGAAUGGCGUAACCUGCACACUAAACCAGACUCCCCCUAAGCAACAAAACCAGGUGGUUGCUCCAUAUAAACUUCCUCAGCAAGAUCCCCAUGAAGGAAAGCAUUUUUAAUAUCUAACUGAUAAAGAGGCCAAGAACGCAUAGCAAUCAUGGAGAGCAAUAGACGAACAAAAGCUAUCUUGGCAACAGGAGAGAAAGUGUCACCAUAAUCAAAACCAUAAACCUGAGUAUAGCAUUUAGCAACUAAGUGGGCCUUAAGGCGAUCAACCUGACCAUCAGGGCCAACCUUAACUGUGUAGACCCAACGACAACCAACUGUAGAUUUACCAGAGGGUAAAACAACAAGAUCCCAAGUGCCAUUGGAGUGUAAAGCAGUCAUUUCAUCUACCAUUGACUGUCGCCAGCCUGGAUGGGAAAGAGCCUCAAGGGUGCUCUUGGGAAGAGAAAUAGAAGAUAGAGCAGAAACAAAUGUAGAAUAGGGUGAAGAUAAUCGAUGGUAACUCAAAAAAUUGUAAAUGGGAUGAGGAUUACGAGUAGAUCGAUUACCUUUCUGAAGAGCAAUGGGUAAGUCAGCAGAAGGAGGCAGAGCUAGGGCAAGAGAAGCCGAAGGGAUAGGAGGUGAGUCAGCAGGUACCGCAGCCAAAGAAGGAGGAACAGCAACACGAUGACGGCGAUGAUAAACUUGAAGUGGGCAAGAAGGCACUGCAUCAGGUGGGAGAUAAUGGGAAGGAGUAAGACUUCAGAAAUAGGAAGAGACUCAGAGGUGGAGAAAAACGGUGAGUCCUCAAAGAAAGUGACAUCAGCGGAGAGAAAGUAGCGAUGAGUCUCAGAGGAAUAACAACGAUAACCCUUUUGAAGUCUGGAAUAUCCCAAGAAGAUGCAUUUUGUGGCUCUGGCAGAAAGUUUGUCUUGUCCAGGAGUGAGAAUAUAAACAAAGCAAGUACAACCAAAAACACGAGGAAGGAAAUAAAGUGGUUGGUCAGGGAAAAGAAGGGAAUGAGGAAUCUGAUCGUGUAAUACAGAUGAGGACAUACGAUUAAUCAAAUAACAUGUUGUAAGAACAGCGUCCCCCCAAAAACGAAAAGGAACAUGACUAUGUAGAAGGAGAGUACGAGUUGUCUCAACAAGAUGUCGAUUCUUACGUUCAGCUACCCCAUUUUGUUGAGGAGUAUGAGCACAAGAAGACUGAUGAAUGAUCCCAUGUUGGGACAUAAAUGAAGUAAAUGGUGCAGAAAAAUAUUCCCUGGCAUUGUCACUGCGCAACACACGAAUAGAAAUAUUAAACUGGGUUUGGAUUUCAGCAUAAAAUUUCUAGAAAAUAGAGAAUAACUCAGCUCGAUUUUUCAUUAAAAAUAAUCAAGUACAUCAAGAAUAGUCAUCAAUGAAAGUGACAAAAUACUGAAAUCCUAAAGUAGACGCGGUCCGACAAGGACCCCACACAUCAGUGUGGACAAGUUCAAAAGGAGACUUUGCCCGAUUAUUCAAACGCUUUAGAAACGAGACACGAGUAUGUUUCCCAAGCUGACAGGACUCACACGCAAGCGACAACAAAGAUGAAAAACUAGGGACCAUUUUAUGGAACUUGGAUAGACUAGGGUGGCCCAGGCGACUGUGGAUGAGAAGGGGAGCAUCCGUGGAAAUGCAAACUACAGGUGAAGACAAGGUGAGGUGAUAGAGGCCUUGAGACUCACGUCCUAUGCCAAUCGUCUUCCCCGUACUCCGGUCUUGCAAGGUCACAAAUUUAUCAGA